UUUUUGAGGACAGGCUUCAUUUUUAUGUUGAUUCCUUCAUGCAUUCACUGAGCACUAAGCUUGAUGGACCUUCCUAAAUUAGGAGCUUAGUCCAGUGGGGUUCCCAUCCUAGGAAGAAUUCUUACAGUAUGGCCACUGCUGUAGUAGUAGUGUUGGAUUCUGGCACUAACGGUGUCAUUGGGCUCUUUCUAACAACGUGAAGCGUGGUAGAGACACCAGGAAGGAGAAAUGGGGGUCAGCGGUAAGGGCGGUGCUCAGGUGUCCCCCUGAACCCUCAUUGUCCCGUCUGCAGUGGUUGAUGCCUGCCUGUUCCCACUGUCCUCCCUUCCCCACCCAUUCCUGUUCUUCACCUACUAUCUCCCGAAAAUUACUCAGUUCCUACUAUCUACCUGGAACUUGGCUGCCUUUUCUUGCACAGUUCCUCCCAGAAUGAGGAGUUUUGCACAUGAAGAUCUUGAGGCUCAGGAAGGCCCCUUAACCUGCCUGGGGGUUCACAUGGCCCAGGGCCACGGAGUCCCUGCCUAUCGAAUAUCCCACCUCCCCGCUGCCCCUCUUCCUCUUCCCCACAUCGUCUGACCUUGGCCCCAGUCUCUCUCCCUCCUCCCCACAAUCCCUCCUCCUCUCCAGGCCUCUGGCAGAGGCCAGGGAGGGUGCCCAAGGCCCAAGUGAGGCUGUCUGUUCUGGAUGCGGGGGGUAGAAAGAUGCCAAGCACAGAAACCUCUGGUUCUUGGAACCUCAGCUUUCUCACCAGUAAACUGUGGGCAAAAGAUGCUUCUUUCAUAUGCCUGCUGUGGGGAUAGGUGAGAAAAUGCUUGUAGUUUAACAAGUCAUUUAACAGUCAGGUGCACAGCAAGCAUUUGAUAAAUGCACAAGGCACAGGAUAUCAUCAGGUCUCCAACACCUUUACAGGCCCCUCCACAAGGACAUGUUCAUCCUGUCUGUGCUCCAGCCUGGUGGGGAUGGUGGCCCAGUCAGCUCCAGCAAGCCCGGCAGGUUGGGGGCCUUUAGCACCUGCUCCCUUACUCAGCUCUCAGGGAAGCCGAGGCAUCCUCAGGCCUCAGGGCACGGUCAUCAAAAAGGUUGCAUGGCAUGUGGACCCUAAAGCUAGAGUUGAAACCCAGCUCUGCCACUUCCUGGCUGUUAAACUUUGCUUCUUUGUGCCUCAGUUUCAUCACUUCUAAAAUGGGGAUAUGAGCUGGGCCUGUCUCCCUGGGCUGUUGUCAGGAUGCAGUGAGUAAAUCCACGUGCUGAGCACUCAUUAAAUGUUAACUAUGGUUCUUCUUGACACCAAACCCACUGAACCCCAGGACCCAGAGAUCCCCACUCGGCACCCACAAAGCGCCUUGACACCUCGCUAUGAGGCUCUGGGGGACGAUCUUUCUCUAACACUCUCUGUGCACCACGCUUUUUCACCAGCUCUGUCCACACCCUGCUAUUUAUGGAUAGAAAGGGGAGACCCAUCUGCAAGUUGAGAAACUGAGGCUUAAAAGGGUCGAGAAACUGUCCCCAGUCUGUCAGUAAGAGGCUGUCAGGAGCAAAGUCCUGAUUGGCUGGUUGUUCAUUUACUCAUCUGCCAGUCAUACACCUUAUGCUUACUGAGCACCUUCUCUAUUCCAGGUACUGCUCCAGGUGCCAGGGAUAUGUACAGAGAAGCAUAGACAUAACUUCUGCCAUCUUUGGUUUUUUUUUUUUUUUUUUUUAACAGAAAGGAAUCAGGGAGCAGUCAGGCUUAACAUUUUCUGACCAAGCAUUGAUCACGGGGCCAGCUGAGCUAUGCAUGGACAGGGGUAACUGAAGCUUGAAGGGGUCAAAAAGAAACAAGAGCCAGAUUUGCCUCUGGGUAAUGAUCACUGUUCCAUCAGUGUGAAGGAAGAAGAAAAGAUUUGGGUACCCUGGGCCACAUUAGCAGAGGUAUAACUCUCAGAAUAAAGGAGGUGAGAAUCCUACUUGUUGUAAUCCUGGUCAGACCACAUCAGUUCUCUGCUGGCAGGGUAAGGGGAACAUGGCUCAUUGGAAUAGAUGCCAUGGACAUCAUCUAGGCCUGCGGGGCCUGGCUGAAGGAACUAAGGAGGUACAAUAGGCAAAGAGGAUGUUUACCUGGGGGUAUCACUGUUGUUUCCGGCUGCUCAAAGCUGUCUCGUGGACCGCUUAGAGUAACUUGGGUUACGUUCCUAACUUGGACCUUACGUUAUCAUACAUUAUAAGGUUCAUAUGAAAAAGAGCUUUGAUCUAUCAUAGUCCUUAACAAUGGGUUGGGGGGCAGUUCCUUGAGGCAGUGAGUUCCCCAUCACCUAAAGCAUGAAAGCAGUAGCUAGAAGAUCAUUUGAGCAUUUGGGAAGGGAGUUAGACUAAGAAGUGUUUUAGGUCCCCAAGCAGUUCAUGCGCAAAGUCUUGGAGAUUACUGUGUUUUUUUCUGUCUGAAAGACUUCUCAUAUGUGCCUUCUCAUCCUUCAGAUAUCGGCUUUAACGUCACCUCUUCAGAGACGUCUCCCUUGAUUACUCAUUCAAGUUCCUGUGGACAAGAAUGAUGGCUUUGUCUGGAGGAGUCACUUUAGUGAACUGAUUACGAGCUAAUUACAAGAGAAACGUUUCGUGUUUUUGACCCCAGAGUUAACAACAUGAACUUUGAUGAAGAGGAAGAUCAAGGCCUGGGCAAAUCCACUCAAAUAUCAUUUAACCUGCCCUUUCUGCAUGCAUGUGGCUAAUAAAAAUGGCAGUCUUUCAUGUCAAAAUCUUGAAGGGGCUUCCCUGGAUGUCCCAGAGUUACAGCCACCUCUCUUCAGAGUAUAGCCUAAAGAGCCCCGGAGACAGGUUCCCUUCGAGCUUUGUUAGAGUGUAGACUCUGGGGCCCAGCCUGGAUCUGGUGAAUGAGAACCUUGGAAGUGGGUCCAGGAUGGAGUAUUUCUGAAAUACCUGGGUUGAUCCUGGCUCCAGUGGUGUUCUUCUCUUCCAGAGAGUGUCAGGGCUUAGGCCCCUGGGAGAUCGUCUAGUCCAGACUCUACAGAUGAUGAAACUGAGGCUCAGAGAGGGGCAGUGACCUUCCUGAAGUCACACAGCAAAUCCAUGGCCAGGCUCAGACUAGAACCUUCUCUUCUUUCUGCUAGCCCUAUAGCCUCCUCUUGAUAAUGGAAUUUAGGGUUAAAAUAAUUAUAGUGCUCCAAACCUUAAAUUUAUAUUUAACUGUUAGUCCCAAUUUUCUACAAAUAAUGUGUAUUAAAUAAUUAAUGUGCCUUAAAAUA